AUUGAACGCUGGCGGCAUGCCUUACACAUGCAAGUCGAACGGUAACGGGCUUUCGGGUGCCGCCGACUGGCGAACGGGUGAGUAAUACAUCGGAAUGUACCCGAUCCUGGGUGUUAGCGAGGCGAAACCUUUGCUAAUACCGCCUACGAUCUCCGACUACAUGCGGGGGACCGCAAGGCAUUUCCCGGCCGUGCCGGCCGAUGGGAGAUUAGGUAGUUGGUGGGAUAAAAGCUUACCAAGCCGACGAUCUGUAGCUGGUCUGAGAGGAUGAUCAGCCACACUGGGACUGAGACACGGCCCAGACUCCUACGGGAGGCAGCAGUGGGGAAUAUUGGACAAUGGGCGCAAGCCUGAUCCAGCCAUGCCGCGUGGAGGAUGAAGGCCUUCGGGUUGUAAAGUGCUUUUGUACGGAAAGAAAAGCAUUCUGUUAAUACAGGAGGGUCAUGACGGUACCGAAAGAAUAAGCACCGGCUAACUACGUG
rnacentral:rRNA from 1 species